GAUCACCGAAAAAACUCUGCAGGGCGAUCAUCAGCCCCAAGCACUGAUCAGCCUAGUUCUGAUCACCGAAAACACUCUGCAGGGCGAUCAGCCCCAAGCACGCCUCAGCCUAGUUCUGGUGUGUUAGUAACUCGGAUUCAGAUCCCACCAGUAGCAGCCUUCGGAAGUGGAGAGAUGCCCACUACUCCUCC